GGCCUCGUCGCCAAGUGGUAAGGCAACGGUUUGCAAAACCGUCACCCCCGGUUCGAAUCCGGGCGAGGCCU
rnacentral:tRNA from 1 species